AGGGGCAACUCUGUCAGUGGCGGACGGGUGAGUAACGCGUAGGAAUCUAUCUCUGGGUGGGGGACAACCGUGGGAAACUACGGCUAAUACCGCAUGAUGCCCGAGGGCCAAAGGCGCAAGUCGCCUGGAGAGGAGCCUGCGUACGAUUAGCUUGUUGGUGGGGUAAAGGCCUACCAAGGCGACGAUCGUUAGCUGGUCUGAGAGGAUGAUCAGCCACACUGGAACUGAGACACGGUCCAGACUCCUACGGGAGGCAGCAGUGAGGAAUAUUGCUCAAUGCCCGCAAGGGUGAAGCAGCGACGCCGCGUGAGGGAUGAAGGCCCUAUGGG
rnacentral:rRNA from 1 species